AGGUUUGGACGAAAUUAGAGUGCCAGUAAUAGCUUCUUGAUCGUCAGAGAUUUAAUGUUUGAAAUAAAAGUGAAAAUUCAAGUAAAUUUCCCUCAUAUUACUCAUUAUUUGAAAUGAUUUCAGAGAUAGCGUGAAGAAAGUGUUGAAUGAAAUUCAAAAGAGUUAAGCAAGAUUCCUAUCUGGAAUAAAUCCAAUAUUUUUAUUUUAAAGCUAUAGACGGCCAAAUACAAUGUAAUUUUACUAAUUAAUGUUUGUUUCUUCCUAUUUAUCCUCAGAAUGCACCUGAUUUCGCAACUCUUGCAACAUUCGAAGACUUGGGUCAGGAUAUGAGAAUCACUAGCAAACUAUUUGACAUACUUUCAAUCCAUCAUUGGUCAUCCUCCAUGUGAAGACUUGGAUGUUUCCUCGGCUGAUAGAUGAAUGCAAAUUUUGGUCAAUUAUAAUCUCGAUAAAGAUGAAAUAAGUACAUGAUUUUCAGUUGGCAGUAAGGAGGUGAAUCCGUCCAUAUUUUUGUGCUAUCCACAGUUCAUAUGCACUUUCCUCAUAACCUUCCAGGAUAACCUGCUUACCUCAAAAAACUACCUGCGUUUGAAUUAAAUCAGUUGGCAAGCGAAUUUCUAGAAAGACAUGAAAGACAUACCCGACUGCUGAUUCUGAUCUAAAAUGUCUUAUUGCAACAGAUUGAGAAACAUGUAAAUAAAUACAAAUAAUCUGGUUAAAGCAAAAAACCUGUUUCCGGUACAAAUUUCCCCAAAGGGUCGAUGCAAAAAUUGCUAACUCUGAUUCAAAUUAAGAAUUCAAGAAACAUCAUGAACCAUUCCUGUUAUAUCAUCUUCACCUCUUUAAUUCUUGAUUUAUCAGCUUUUAAAAUUAUUUUACCACUCAUGCCAGCAAUAUUUGAUUAUUAUGAAACUAAUGAUAAAAAUGGCCUUUAAUUGCAACUUAACGAUAUCGUUGAAACAUUUUGAGUACAUUGUGGUGCUCCAAAUGAUUUAAAUAAAUGGAUGCACUGGUGCAUUAGGAUCUUGGUUUUCUUUUUUGCAGUUCAUCUCUUCACCGUUCAUCGGGGCCUUUUCCGACGUCUAUGGACGUCGUGUUUCAAUGUUGUUAUGUUUAGUGAGAGUAGCUAUUUCUCAUUUUCUCUGGUCAAUGUCUCAAGGACUCGUAUGGCUCGUACGCUAGGGGGCUUGUUUAAAGGAAAUGUCAGUCUAUCUACGGCAAUUAUUACUGACCUAUUGACUCAAGCUGAAAAAGUUAAAGGAAUGGCGUUGAUUUUUGUUGCUUUCUCAGUUGGCUUCGUUUCCUACAAUUCAAAACUGCCCUUUCAUCGAGCCAAAAAUUUUUCGCCUUACCCGCCAUUUUUUCUAACGUUUUGGCUGUUAUUAAUAUUAUUUUAUUUACAUAUACUUCAAAGAGUCCCUUCCAAAAGCCAAUCGACCCAAGUCAACCAUCAAAGGUUUCAUGCAGGCUUUUGGAUAUGUUAACCCGAUUUAUUUGUGCCCGUCUUUCAAAUGUUCAAAAGAUUGGCAAAGAAGAUUUACAAGUUAUCUGUGAUUCAGGAUUCAUCUAUUUUCGUUACUUGUUCUUAUACUCCGGCCUCAAAUAUACUUUUACUUUCUUAACUCACCAUAGACACAAGAAUGCAAAAGUAUACUUAUUCAGUGGUACAUUAAUGGCUUUACUUCAAGGAACAUAUGUCCGGCGUAUAAAACCCAGCAAAGAGCUCAAGACAAUUAAAAUAGGCUUAAUUGUUAUUGUGUUGGCAUUCUUGACAAUUGGACUAUCUCAAACCAUUCCUCAACUUUAUACAGGACUAGCUUUCUAUUCAUUUUCAUCUGCCGCUGUUGUGCCUUGAUCAACAACUCUAGCCUCAUCAACUGGACCAUCAGACCAAAAAAAGACUGUCCUUGGUACAUUCCGAUCUCUAGGUUCGAGCCUCGAGCCUUAGGUCCAAUUGUGUCUUCGCUAACAUAUUGGAGAUUUGGACCUGAAAUAUGUUAUACAAUUGGAGCAUUAUUCUUUGUUUUCACGUUUAUAUUAUCAAGACCGUUAUCUAAUUGACUGAACCCCGCUAAAAUACGCCCAUGCGGUCAAGCAUAUGGGUAAAUUUCACCAACGAGAUUGUUUUGGAUCAGAAAUGGAAUUGACUCAAAGACUGAUUUUAAUUCCAACUCUCAAAGAUCUCAUGUUGAUUAUGUUUAUUCUAAUAUUCUAUUGAGUAGAGUUUAUGUUGCGUACUGACGAUGGAAAUUCAUUUGGGACAGUUGCCAAAUCAUUCAGUUGAUUGGACAGAGAUGAAGUUACUCAAAGUCAAAGACCUUUUGAUUACAGCAUAUUUGCUUCUGCCAGAAAAAUUAUUCUUGUUGUUUGACAGGCUCUUUAGAAAUCAAGGUGACUCUUUAAUUAAUAUGAGAAUUAAUUUCAAAUAAACAGUGUAGAGAUAAGUCA